rnacentral:rRNA from 1 species
UACGUAGGAGACAAACGUUAUCCGGAGUUACUGGGCGUAAAGGGCGUGUAGGUGGUUCUGUAAGUCUGGCGUGAAAUUUUUCGGCUUAACCGGGAAAGGUCGUCGGAUACUGCAGGGCUAGAGGACGGUAGAGGCGUGUGGAAUUCCGGGUGUAGUGGUGAAAUGCGUAGAGAUCCGGAGGAACACCAGUGGCGAAGGCGACACGCUGGGCCGUACCUGACACUGAUGCGCGACAGCAUGGGGAGCAAACAGG